rnacentral:rRNA from 1 species
CCUACGGGUGGCAGCAGUGGGGAAUAUUGGACAAUGGGCGAAAGCCUGAUCCAGCCAUGCCGCGUGUGUGAAGAAGGCCUUCGGGUUGUAAAGCACUUUCAGUGGGGAAGAAAGCCUUGGGGCUAAUACCCUCGAGGAAGGACAUCACCCACAGAAGAAGCACCGGCUAACUCCGUGCCAGCAGCCGCGGUAAUACGGAGGGUGCGAGCGUUAAUCGGAAUUACUGGGCGUAAAGCGCGCGUAGGCGGUCUGAUAAGCCGGUUGUGAAAGCCCCGGGCUCAACCUGGGAACGGCAUCCGGAACUGUCAGGCUAGAGGGCAGGAGAGGAAGGUAGAAUUCCCGGUGUAGCGGGGAAAUGCGUAGAGAUCGGGAGGAAUACCAGUGGCGAAGGCGGCCUUCUGGACUGACACUGACGCUGAGGUGCGAAAGCGUGGGUAGCAAACAGGAUUAGAUACCCCAGUAGUC